GCGACGACGGGUAGCCGGCCUGAGAGGGCGACCGGCCACACUGGGACUGAGACACGGCCCAGACUCCUACGGGAGGCAGCAGUGGGGAAUAUUGCACAAUGGGCGCAAGCCUGAUGCAGCGACGCCGCGUGAGGGAUGACGGCCUUCGGGUUGUAAACCUCUUUCAGCAGGGAAGAAGCGCAAGUGACGGUACCUGCAGAAGAAGCACCGGCUAACUACGUG
rnacentral:rRNA from 1 species